rnacentral:tRNA from 1 species
GGGGAUUUAGCUCAGUGGCAUAAGCACCUGCCUUGCAAGCAAGAAGUCGUGAGUUCAAUCCCCG